GACGAACGCUGGCGGCGUGCUUAACACAUGCAAGUCGAACGGAAAGGCCCCUUUUUGGUUACUCGAGUGGCUAACGGGUGAGUAACACGUGCGUAACCUGCCCUUCACUUCGGGAUAACUUCAGGAAACUGGGGCUAAUACCUGCUAGGAAUCCUUGCUUCAUGGUGGGUGUUGGAAAGCUUCGGCGGUUUUGGAUGGACUCGCGUCUUAUUAGCUUGUUUGUGGGGGAGUGGCUUACCAAGGCUCUGACGGGUAGCCGGCCUGAGAGGGCGACCGGCCACAUUGGGACUGAGAGACGGCCCAGACGCCUACGGGAGGCAACAGUGGGGAAUAUUGCACAAUGGGCGGAAGCCUGAGGCAGAAACGCCGCGUGCGGGAUGACGGGCUUCGGGUUGUAAACCGGUUUCAUAAGGGGCGAAGCUUGUGGUGACGGUACCUGCAGAAGAAGCACCGGCUAACUACGUG
rnacentral:rRNA from 1 species